UGGUGGAGUGAUUUGCCUGCCUAAUCGCGAUAACGAACGAGACCUUAACCUGCUAAAUAGCCCGUAUUGCUUUGGCAGUACGCUGGCUUCUUAGAGGGACUAUCGGCUCAAGCCGAUGGAAGUUUGAGGCAAUAACA
rnacentral:rRNA from 1 species